rnacentral:rRNA from 1 species
CCCCGAAAGCUAUUUAGGUAGCGCCUCGUGAAUUCAUCUCCGGGGGUAGAGCACUGUUUCGGCUAGGGGGCCAUCCCGGCUUACCAACCCGAUGCAAACUGCGAAUACCGGAGAAUGUUAUCACGGGAGACACACGGCGGGUGCUAACGUCCGUCGUGAAGAGGGAAACAACCCAGACCGCCAGCUAAGGUCCCAAAGUCAUGGUUAAGUGGGAAACGAUGUGGGAAGGCCCAGACAGCCAGGAUGUUGGCUUAGAAGCAGCCAUCAUUUAAAGAAAGCGUAAUAGCUCACUGGUCGAGUCGGCCUGCGCGGAAGAUGUAACGGGGCUAAACCAUGCACCGAAGCUGCGGCAGCGACACUGUGUGUUGUUGGGUAGGGGAGCGUUCUGUAAGCCUGUGAAGGUGUGUCGUGAGGCAUGCUGGAGGUAUCAGAAGUGCGAAUGCUGA